GUGGGGAAUAUUGGGCAAUGGGGGAAACCCUGACCCAGCAACGCCGCGUGAGGGAAGAAGGUUUUCGGAUUGUAAACCUCUGUCCUUGGUGACGAAGGAAGUGACGGUAGCCAAGGAGGAAGCCCCGGCUAACUACGUGCCAGCAGCCGCGGUAAUACGUAGGGGGCAAGCGUUGUCCGGAAUGACUGGGCGUAAAGGGCGUGUAGGCGGCCGAUUAAGUCUGGAGUGAAAGUCCUGCUUUCAAGGUGGGAAUUGCUUUGGAGACUGGUUGGCUUGAGUGCGGGAGAGGUAAGUGGAAUUCCCAGUGUAGCGGUGAAAUGCGUAGAGAUUGGGAGGAACACCAGUGGCGAAGGCGACUUACUGGGCCGUAACUGACGCUGAGGCGCGAAAGCGUGGGGAGCGAACAGGAUUAGAUACCCUGGUAGUCC
rnacentral:rRNA from 1 species